rnacentral:rRNA from 1 species
CGAACGGGUGAGUAACACGUGGGCAACCCUGCCCCAAAAAGAGGGGGAUAACACUUGGAAACAGGUGCUAAUACCGCAUAACCAUAGUUACCGCAUGGUAGCUAUGUAAAAGGUGGCUAUGCUACCGCUUUUGGAUGGGCCCGCGGCGCAUUAGCUAGUUGGUGGGGUAAAGGCUUACCAAGGCAAUGAUGCGUAGCCGAACUGAGAGGUUGAUCGGCCACAUUGGGACUGAGACACGGCCCAAACUCCUACGGAAGGCAGCAG